rnacentral:rRNA from 1 species
UACAGAGGUCCCGAGCGUUGUUCGGAUUCAUUGGGCGUAAAGGGUGCGUAGGCGGUCUUCUAAGUUUGAUGUGAAAUCCCGGGGCUCAACCCUGGAAUGGCAUUGAAUACUGGAGGACUAGAGUACCGGAGAGGAAACUGGAAUUUACGGUGUAGCAGUGAAAUGCGUAGAGAUCGUAAGGAAGACCAGUGGCGAAGGCGACUUUCUGGCCUAUAACUGACGCUGAGGCGCGAAAGCGUGGGGAGCAAACAGG